rnacentral:rRNA from 1 species
GACGAACGCUGGCGGCGUGCUUAACACAUGCAAGUCGAACGGUGAAGCGCCUUCCUUUUUGGUGGGUGUGGAUGAGUGGCGAACGGGUGAGUAACACGUGAGUAACCUGCCCCCUUCUUCUGGAUAACCGCAUGAAAGUGUGGCUAAUACGGGAUAUUCUGGGUCUGUCGCAUGAUGGGUCUGGGAAAGAUAUUGUUUCGGUGGGGGAUGGGCUCGCGGCCUAUCAGCUUGUUGGUGGGGUGAUGGCCUACCAAGGCGGUGACGGGUAGCCGGCCUGAGAGGGUGGACGGUCACACUGGGACUGAGACACGGCGCAGACUCCUACGGGAGGCAGCAGUGGGGAAUAGUGCACAAUGGGCGCAAGCCUGAUGCAGCGACGCCGCGUGAGGGAUGGAGGCCUGCGGGUUGUGAACCUCUUUCGCCAGUGAGGCAGGCCUGCCUCGUUUGUGGGUGGGUUGACGGUAGCUGGAUAAGAAGCGCCGGCUAACUACGUG